GGUUUGAUGGUCUAGUGGUAGGAUUCUCGCUUUGGGAUUAGGAACUUCCUAUCGCAAACUUGCGAGAGGUCCCGGGUUCAAUCCCCGGUCAAACCC